ACAUCCAUGGUGAAGCGGUUUAUCAUGCUUGCCUUCCAUAAUACGGUCCCUUUGGUUAGCAAGCGGCAGGGGUUCGACUCCCCUUGGAUGUA